rnacentral:rRNA from 1 species
AAACUGGGAUUAGAUACCCCACUAUGCUUAGCCCUAAACACAAAUAAUUACAGAAACAAAAUUAUUCGCCAGAGUACUACCGGCAACAGCCCGAAACUCAAAGGACUUGGCGGUGCUUUAUACCCUUCUAGAGGAGCCUGUUCUAUAAUCGAUAAACCCCGAUAAACCUCACCAAUCCUUGCUAAUACAGUCUAUAUACCGCCAUCUUCAGCAAACCCUAAAAAGGAACAAAAGUAAGCUCAAUCACAACACAUAAAGACGUUAGGUCAAGGUGUAACCCAUGGAAUGGGAAGAAAUGGGCUACAUUUUCUACCUUAAGAAAAUUAAUACGAAAGCCAUUAUGAAAUUAAUGACCAAAGGAGGAUUUAGUAGUAAACUAAGAAUAGAGUGCUUAGUUGAAUUAGGCCAUGAAGCACGCACACACCGCCCGUCACCCUC